rnacentral:rRNA from 1 species
UACGUAGGGGGGCAAGCGUUGUCCGGAAUCAUUGGGCGUAAAGCGCGUGUAGGCGGUUCGGUAAGUCGGCUGUGAAAGUCCAGGGCUCAACCCUGGGAUGCCGGUCGAUACUGCCGGACUAGAGUUCGGAAGAGGCGAGUGGAACUCCUGGUGUAGCGGUGGAAUGCGCAGAUAUCAGGAAGAACACCAACGGCGAAGGCAGCUCGCUGGGACGGUACUGACGCUGAGACGCGAAAGCGUGGGGAGCGAACAGG